rnacentral:rRNA from 1 species
CCCCAGUAACGGCGAGUGAAGCGGCAACAGCUCAAAUUUGAAAUCUGGCCCCCUCGGGGCCCGAGUUGUAAUUUGCAGAGGGUGCUUCGGCGUUGGCGCCGGCCUAAGUUCCUUGGAACAGGACGUCAUAGAGGGUGAGAACCCCGUACGUGGCAGGCCGCCUCCGCCGUGUGAAGCCCCUUCGACGAGUCGAGUUGUUUGGGAAUGCAGCUCUAAAUGGGAGGUAAAUUCCUUCUAAAGCUAAAUACUGGCCAGAGACCGAUAGCGCACAAGUAGAGUGAUCGAAAGAUGAAAAGCACUUUGGAAAGAGAGUCAAAAAGCACGUGAAAUUGUUGAAAGGGAAGCGCUUGCAGCCAGACUUGCCUGUAGUUGCUCAUCCGGGCCCCGGCCCGGUGCACUCUUCUGCGGGCAGGCCAGCAUCAGUCAGGGCGGCCGGAUAAAGGCCCCGGGAACGUAGCUCCCUCCGGGGAGUGUUAUAGCCCGGGGCGCAAUGCGGCCAGCCCCGACUGAGGUCCGCGCAUCUGCUAGGAUGCUGGCGUAAUGGCUGUAAGCGGCCCGUCUUGAAACACGGACCAAGGAGUCUAACAUCUAUGCGAGUGUUUGGGUGUCAAGCCCGGGCGCGAAAUGAAAGUGAACGGAGGUGGGAACCCCUUCCGGGGUGCACCAUCGACCGAUCCUGAUGUCUUCGGAUGGAUUUGAGUAAGAGCAUAGCUGUUGGGACCCGAAAGAUGGUGAACUAUGCCUGAAUAGGGUGAAGCCAGAGGAAACUCUGGUGGAGGCUCGCAGCGGUUCUGACGUGCAAAUCGAUCGUCAAAUUUGGGCAUAGGGGCGAAAGACUAAUCGAACAUCUA